rnacentral:tRNA from 2 species
CCGCCUAUAGCUCAGUUGGUAGAGCGCAGAGCUUAUACCUCUGUGGUCCUAGGUUCGAGUCCUAGUGGGCGGACAA